rnacentral:misc_RNA from 1 species
GUUGAGUUGAGUUGAGUUGAAUAUAUUCCACGUUAUCAAUUAAUAUUAGAAGUACUCUGGGACUUUCAUUUACAAUUAGGACCAAGCCAGAUUUCCAGAUUAUAACUUUCAUAUGAGUUUUGUAUAUGCAACGGACUCCAUCAAGUUUUUCUUUUAUUAACAAGGAUCCAAGUCAAUUUGAAUGAGUUUUUGUAAUGAGCAAGAGUGCUGCAGGACAUUUGACAUGAUGCUGACAAGGAAAAUGACCUAAAAGAUGAGCAAACAUAGAAACCCAACUAGGCAGAGUCUGAGUUCUAAACACAAUCCAACAAGGUGUAGAGGCUAGGCCUUCCAAACUGAUUCCAUCCCUUUCAACCACAAAAAUCCAACAGUUAAAGCUGCAAUUUAGGUUCACAUGACAUCAAUAAAAUUAUGAACUUUACAUUCUAACCACAAGACAAACAAAGAGAGUGCUCCAAGCAACUAACUCACCAGUCCAUAUAGACAAAAGUAGA